UAUUUUAAGUCCAGCACUGCACAGCGCUGCAUUAAGUCAAACGCACCUAUUGUUUUGGAGACGUUUGAGGUAAACAAAUCAGUAGUAAACUAAACAAAUGGGCUUUAAAGAAAUAGUAUUUAUAGUUGAUGGAGACAACUUGAAUGGAUUCAGAGGCGUGUUAACACCUGUGAUGGCUCUGCUAGCAGGCUCUGUCAGGACCCACAGGAAGUUUGCUUUACAGCAGGAAGCAGGAAACAUUCAUCCAGUGAGAAAACAGCAAAAACCUUUGGAGUCAAGCACAAGAAAAGGGUGAUGAAAAGGAAAACAAAACCUUAAAUGAGGACAGCACCUCCCCGGUGGCAAAAGGCUCUUUUUGUUUAUAGAGACAGCCAACGAUAAACAGGAAAUGUGGGAGACAGACAGGCAUACUGCAAAGGGUCGCAGGCUGGACUCAAACAAGGACCGCUUUAUUAAGGACUCAUACGCGCUACCAAUUGGUGACCUUCAUGGACGAUUUAACCUGAAGAGUAAACGCAGACCUUUGUGCUCCACGCUUAACUGCACUUUUGUGUCCUUGGAUUCUGAGACCCCAGGCUCUGAGGUUGCAGCGAGCAUGUGAUUUUCAGUUUAAACAUCCUUAAUCCACACUCAGGUUGGUGGGUCAGUCAGCCACAUGAGACGGUUAAGGGGAAAAAAAGCAUUACUAAGCUUUUGCUGUCAUUUUCAAUUAACCUGUCUGGUGUCUGUUUAAGUCCAGCGGUGCUGCUGCAGAAUGUCCCCAGAACUGGAACAAGAUGAAUAAAAACACCUCACAGUAUGGCAGCAGUGUGAGCAGUGUUGAAUUAGCAAAGUCUAUCUGCUGCCCUCCUGUGGAGCCAGGGUGACACUGUUUAUGUUAUGGUACAUUCAAAAAACACAAUCUGUGUAGCUGUCAGGGUUAUAGAUCGAUUGAGCUUAAUUGAAUUAGCUCACUUUCAGAUAGUUAAUUAAUGUAUCCAUCAGCCUUUUAUUUUUGCAUUACUGACCCAACAUUUUAAUACAUCAGUGAUACAUUUUUGUAUUGUGGAUUGAGCCUUUUUAAAUGUUUACAUGCUAGUGGUGAUUAAAAACAGUUGCCAAUAGUUUUCAUAAAUGAUGUAAAAUGUUAAUAAAACAUAUUGUUACU